GUUCACGACUUCUGAGACUUGCGUUUAUGAUUCGAAGAGUGAAAACGGAUACCAGUCAACUACAUACACACGCGUUUGUUUAUUCCUUUGUGUGUUGGAAAUUAUUGUUGGUCCUUCUGUCACUGUCCGUAAUUUAGCGAUUUGCCAAGCAAGCAGCAGAUGGAGUAGAGCAGACCUCUUUUCUCGACUGCAGUGGCUUGGCAUUGGAUGCCCUAAUAAGAAGAUUGACUUGACUUUUUAAUGCGAUUCCGUGUAUCACACAACUUACAAGACAAUAUGUUUCAUUAUAUAUCUAUGAUCAUAUUUAGGAUACAUGUUAAUGACCAUUGUAAGAUUGUGUGUAACAUACAAGACUUGGGCCACUUGCAUCAAGGUCAAGUUCAGAUAUAGAAUUCAGCUGCAUACAGUCUACCACAUAGCUAAUAAACCCUAUGAAAGGAGCUGUCGGUAUUUCCAUGGUGCAGCUAUCACCAGUUUCAAAAUGGAAACAGAUGGUGAGUCUCAAGCGAAAAAGAAAAGUGGACCUCUCCUAACAACUUAAAAGGAGAACAUUAUCUUGCAUAGCAUUUUUCUCCGAAGGGAUUGAUUCAAACAAGCACAUUGUGACAAGUAUCCCACUGAAGGCAAGUUCUACAACAAGGAGACGGACUCCACUGGUGGUCAAUAUAUCGACGUUCAAAAAGGGCUUAAAUUUGUUUACCGAUCAAAACUAUGCCAUAAGACAUGAAUCACCCUCCAAUUAAAACAAAACAUAUGGAGAAUAUGGAGUCACUUUCAAAUCAAGUAACAAUUUAAGAUAUGAGACGAUUCUAAUGACGACAAUGAAUAUGGAGAAGUAUAAUGUACUUGAAAAUGUUUAAUGGAAAUAGAGGAAUGUGAAACUUCUUUGUAUUUAUUUGGUUCUCAUGAA
rnacentral:lncRNA from 1 species